UUAUGUCCAACAGUGUAUUUUAAAAUAUAAUAAAGAAGGGUUUAAGAACACAAAAUUUACAAUAAUGACACGAAACGAUCUAACGAUCAAUAACCUAACCAUCAAAUUCAAAAUCAAAAUUCAAAAUUGCCUGUGUGUGAACCUUCCUCGCAUUCAACCAAUCACAUGCAAGGUAAAUCUGGUGACAAAUUUAAAAUACUCUUCCUGGUUUAAAAACCGAGUAUAGUAAACUCGCCUAUCAGGAAUUUUGUUAUGAAAUCAACUUGUGUCACACUGACGUUUGAAGUUUCGUUAUUCAAAAAAUACGCUCUACUUAGGUUGACAUAUUGUUCCGAACGCAAGCACGAGUAGCGAGAAAAGUAGCCCUCCCUUCAACUUCGCUCGCACUAGCAAAAUGAGACCCCGUCUAUCUCGAGAACUUCAUCAUAUGUCGAAAUAUCCUUACUCCCACGUAUUCUCGACAACAUAAAGAUGACAAUUAAGCAAAAAAAAAAUUUUUGAUUCUUUUUUUCGAUUUGGGCCCUUAAAUCGUUCUUCUAAUGAUCGUCUGGGACGAAUUAUGGGUGAAUUUACACUAGGGUGCGAAGAUGGGAGUUCUACUCCUGUUCGACGAAGAUUUUCGUCUCCUUCUUCUUCUAAAUGUCGCAAACGUAGAGCGUUGAAUUCGGCGAGUUGACGAUCGGUUAACUCGAAACGUUCAUUGUGGUUUGUAAUGCAUACAUUAGGUAGUCCACAGUAUUGGGGAUGUUUAGAAAAGAAACGUCCUACUACGGGUAACCACGAACACUAGUAACAGCAGCACAAUAGAAUUAUUGCACAAAUUAUUAACAAUAAUGAUGCACUUUCCAUAUUUUCCUUCAGAAUUCUGUCGAACUGGUCCAAUUUGUGUUGGAAGUGACGAAUUCUUGAGUUUUAAUGCAGCAAUCUUCCGUUGUGAUAUCCAAGGACGGUAUGUAGUUAGUAUAAUUUGAAGAUUGGUUCGUUGUUGAAUACAAAAUGGCGGAGAAGGUACAUCCAGUGAGUUGUAAAAUACCGGAGCCAUGUAGGUCAAUGUCGGUGAUUUUAGAGUCGUGUGUAUCACAACUUUGUUGGAUUCCUCAUAGCUUUUUGAAAUAAAACUCAAAAUCUUAACUAA